rnacentral:rRNA from 1 species
CCUACGGGUGGCAGCAGUGAGGAAUAUUGGUCAAUGGGCGAGAGCCUGAACCAGCCAAGUCGCGUGAAGGAUGACGGCCCUACGGGUUGUAAACUUCUUUUGUCAGGGAGCAAUUGGGUCCACGCGUGGGCUUAGCGAGAGUACCUGAAGAAAAAGCAUCGGCUAACUCCGUGCCAGCAGCCGCGGUAAUACGUAGGGGGCAAGCGUUAUCCGGAUUUACUGGGUGUAAAGGGAGCGUAGACGGCUGUGCAAGUCUGAAGUGAAAGCCCGUGGCUCAACCGCGGAACUGCUUUGGAAACUGUAUAGCUUGAGUACUGGAGAGGCAGGCGGAAUUCCUAGUGUAGCGGUGAAAUGCGUAGAUAUUAGGAGGAACACCAGUGGCGAAGGCGGCCUGCUGGACAGAAACUGACGUUGAGGCUCGAAAGCGUGGGGAGCAAACAGGAUUAGAUACCCCUGUAGUC